rnacentral:misc_RNA from 1 species
GAUGAAGAACGUAGCGAAAUGCGAUAAGUAAUGUGAAUUGCAGAAUUCAGUGAAUCAUCGAAUCUUUGAACGCACAUUGCGCCCCUUGGUAUUCCGAGGGGCAUGCCUGUUCGAGCGUCAUUAUAACCCCUCAAGCUCAGCUUGGUGUUGGGGCCUGCUGCACUGGCAGCCCUUAAAAUCAGUGGCGGCGCCAUCUGGCUCUAAGCGUAGUAAUUCUUCUCGCUAUGGAGUCCUGGUGGAUGCUUGCCAUCAACCCCCAAUUUUUCUAUGGUUGACCUCGGAUCAGGUAGGGAUACCCGCUGAACUUAAGCAUAUCAAUAAGCGGAGGAA